rnacentral:rRNA from 1 species
CAGGAAAAGGCAAACUGCUCAGUAACACGUGACUAACCUACCCUUAAGUCAGGGAUAACCUCUGGGAAACUGAGGAUAAUACCUGAUAGGAGAUAUGCCCUGGAAAGACUUAUCUCUCAAACUCGUGCUUAAGGAUGGGGUCGCGGCGGAUUAGGUUGUUGGCGGGGUAAUGGCCCACCAAGCCGAAGAUCCGUAAGGGCUCUUAGCGGAGAAGCCCUGAGAGGGAAUCUGAGAC